rnacentral:misc_RNA from 1 species
AAACCCUCAAGCCCAGCUUGUUUAUGGGUGCUUGUCCCGCCUUUCGUGCGGCGACUCACCUCAAAAUCAGUGGCAGCCCGCACCCGCAGGCCGUGAGCGCAGCACAGAAGCGCCCAAGGUAUUUGCAGGUCGGCUCUCCAGAAGCCCAUUUCCAC